rnacentral:rRNA from 1 species
GUCUAUGGCCAUGCCACCCUGAACAAGCCCGAUGUCUGAUCUUGGGAGCUAAACAGGGUCGGGCCUGGUUAGUACUUGGAUGGGAGACCACCUAGAAAGACAGUGCUGUAGGCA